rnacentral:rRNA from 1 species
AUGCAGUCGAACGCAAGUUUUUAACUUGAGUGGCGGACGGGUGAGUAACACGUGAGAAUUCACCUUUAGGUGGGGAAUAACUUUUGGAAACGAUAGCUAAUGCCCCAUAGACUCGAAAGAGAAAAAAGAGCAAUCUGUCUAAAGAGAAGCUCGCGGCUGAUUAGCUAGUUGGUAAGGUAAUGGCUUACCAAGGCGACGAUCAGUAGCUGGUUUGAGAGAACGAUCAGCCACACUGGAACUGAGACACGGUCCAGACUCCUACGGGAGGCAGCAGUGGGGAAUUUUCCGCAAUGGGCGAAAGCCUGACGGAGCAAUACCGCGUGAGGGAUGACGGCCUUUGGGUUGUAAACCUCUUUUAUCAAGGAGGAAGUUCUGACGUGUACUUGAUGAAUAAGCAUCGGCUAACUCCGUGCCAGCAGCCGCGGUAAGACGGAGGAUGCAAGUGUUAUCCGGAAUCACUGGGCGUAAAGCGUCUGUAGGUUGUUUAAAAAGUCUGCAGUUAAAGGUUGAAGCUUAACUUCAAAAAUGCCGUAGAAACUUUUAAACUAGAGGAUGGUAGGGGUAGAGGGAAUUUCCAGUGGAGCGGUGAAAUGUGUAGAUAUUGGAAAGACCACCGAUGGCGAAGGCACUCUACUGGGCCAUGACUGACACUGAGAGACGAAAGCUAGGGGAGCAAAUGGGAUUAGAUACCCCAGUAGUCCUAGCCGUAAACGAUGGAUACUAGAUGUUGUGUGUAUUGACCCAUGCAGUAUCGUAGCUAACGCGUUAAGUAUCCCGCCUGGGAAGUAUGCUCGCAAGAGUGAAACUCAAAGGAAUUGACG